GCUGUUCUAGACGUGUGAUAUUUUUUUCUUAGUUAUCUCAGCUUUACAUGAUUAUAAGUUUAAUUUCGUUUGUUUACAUCUUUUUUUAUUGUCAUCUGAAAAUUAUAUUAAAAAUGGUGAAAUGCGAUCGUACACACGAAAACUGAACACAAAAACUGAAAAGAACAGUUUCCUUUCGGAAACCACAGUUUGUUACUUUGUUUACAUCAACACGGUAAAUUAAUUGGAUUAAUCCUAUCAACUAGGGGUGGACAAAGAAACAAAACCAAACCGAGUCAAACAGAACCAACCGAACCAAAACCGAUCCAAACCGAACCAAAGUUUACCAUCAAAUAAUUUGGUUUAAGAUUUUCCUAACCCGAACAAACCCAACCGAAACCGAUCCGAAUUAAACCGAAUCGAUAAACCAAUGUGUUUUUAUUACUAUUUGAAUUAAACAUACUAACAACAUGCAAUAUACUAAAAUCUUAACACUGAAGUCCCUAUUAACUUUAUUAGCAAUGUUGGAUUUUUUAAUUUUAUAUUUACUUUAGUUAACUUUGGUUUGAUUGUGUUCUUAUAAAAAAAUUUGUGGUUUUUUUUUUAUUUUUGUUUCAGUUUUAUAUUAGAUUUAAUCUACAUUGUUUAUUUUUCAUAGUCAUUGACGAUUUCAUGACUAUCCAUUUAUAUUUUAAAACAUAAUUUCUCUUAAAAGAAUUAAACUAAGAGAAUCCGAUUAAGUCGAACCAAAACACAU
rnacentral:lncRNA from 1 species